GAUGAAGAACGUAGCGAAAUGCGAUAAGUAGUGUGAAUUGCAGAAUUCAGUGAAUCAUCGAAUCUUUGAACGCACAUUGCGCCCCUUGGUAUUCCAUGGGGCAUGCCUGUUCGAGCGUCAUUUGUACCUUCAAGCUCUGCUUGGUGUUGGGUGUUUGUCUCGCCUCUGCGUGUAGACUCGCCUUAAAACAAUUGGCGGCCGGCGUAUUGAUUUCGGAGCGCAGUACAUCUCGCGCUUUGCACUCAUAACGACGACGUCCAAAAGUACAUUUUUACACUCUUGACCUCGGAUCAGGUAGGGAUACCCGCUGAACUUAAGCAUAUCAUAAGCGGAGGA
rnacentral:misc_RNA from 1 species